rnacentral:rRNA from 1 species
ACGUACGCUGGCGGCACGCCUAACACAUGCAAGUCGAACGAAGUAGCAAUACUUAGUGGCAGACGGGUGAGUAACAUGUAGGUAUCUGCCCUUUGGCCUGGAAUAACACGAGGAAACUUGUGCUAAUACCGGAUAAGUCUUUACGGAGAAAGCUUUAUGCACCAUUGGAUGAGCCUGCACUUGAUUAGUUUGUUGGUGGGGUAAUGGCCUACCAAGACUGUGAUCAAUAGCUGAUUUGAGAGGAUGAUCAGCCACAUUGGGACUGAGACACGGCCCAAACUCCUACGGGAGGCAGCAGUGGGGAAUCUUGCACAAUGGAGGAAACUCUGAUGCAGCGAUGCCGCGUGAGUGAAGAAGGCCUUUGGGUUGUAAAGCUCUUUCGUCGGGGAAGAAAAUGACUGUACCCGAAUAAGAAGGUCCGGCUAACUUCGUGCCAGCAGCCGCGGUAAUACGAAGGGACCUAGCGUAGUUCGGAAUUACUGGGCUUAAAGAGUUCGUAGGUGGUUGAAAAAGUUAGUGGUGAAAUCCCAGAGCUUAACUCUGGAACUGCCAUUAAAACUUUUCAGCUAGAGUAUGAUAGAGGAAAGCAGAAUUUCUAGUGUAGAGGUGAAAUUCGUAGAUAUUAGAAAGAAUACCAAUUGCGAAGGCAGCUUUCUGGAUCAUUACUGACACUGAGGAACGAAAGCAUGGGUAGCGAAGAGGAUUAGAUACCCUCGUAGUCCAUGCCGUAAACGAUGUGUGUUAGACGUUGGAAAUUUAUUUUCAGUGUCGCAGGGAAACCGAUAAACACACCGCCUGGGGAGUACGACCGCAAGGUUAGAACUCAAAUGAAUUGACGGGGACCCGCACAAGUAGUGGAGCAUGUGGUUUAAUUCGAAGAUACGCGCAGAACCUUACCAACACUUGACAUGUUCGUCGCAACUCUAAGAGAUUAGAGUUUUCGGUUCGGCCGGACGAAACACAGGUGCUGCAUGGCUGUCGUCAGCUCGUGUCGUGAGAUGUUGGGUUAAGUCCCGCAACGAGCGCAACCCUCACUUUUAGUUGCCAUCAUUAAGUUGGGCACUCUAAAAGAACUGCCAGUGAUAAGCUGGAGGAAGGUGGGGAUGACGUCAAGUCCUCAUGGCCCUUACGUGUUGGGCUACACACGUGCUACAAUGGUAUCUACAACAGGAAGCAAGACGGCGACGUCAAGCAAAUCCCUAAAAGAUACCUCAGUUCGGAUUGCACUCUGCAACUCGAGUGCAUGAAGCUGGAAUUACUAGUAAUCGUGGAUCAGCGUGCCACGGUGAAUGCGUUCCCGGGUCUUGUACACACCGCCC